ensembl:snRNA U6 U6 spliceosomal RNA
GUGCUUACUUCAGCAGCACAUAUACUAAAAUUAGAACAGUUUAGGCGUGAGCAUGGCCCCUGCACAAGGAUGACGUGCAAAUUUGUGAUGCAUUCCCUAUUAUU